rnacentral:rRNA from 1 species
AUGCCUUACACAUGCAAGUCGAACGGCAGCACGGAGCCUGCUCUGGUGGCGAGUGGCGAACGGGUGAGUAAUAUAUCGGAACGUACCCUAGAGUGGGGGAUAACGUAGCGAAAGUUACGCUAAUACCGCAUACGAUCUAAGGAUGAAAGUGGGGGAUCGCAAGACCUCAUGCUCGUGGAGCGGCCGAUAUCUGAUUAGCUAGUUGGUAGGGUAAAAGCCUACCAAGGCAUCGAUCAGUAGCUGGUCUGAGAGGACGACCAGCCACACUGGAACUGAGACACGGUCCAGACUCCUACGGGAGGCAGCAGUGGGGAAUUUUGGACAAUGGGCGAAAGCCUGAUCCAGCAAUGCCGCGUGAGUGAAGAAGGCCUUCGGGUUGUAAAGCUCUUUUGUCAGGGAAGAAACGGUGAAAGCUAAUAUCUUUUGCUAAUGACGGUACCUGAAGAAUAAGCACCGGCUAACUACGUGCCAGCAGCCGCGGUAAUACGUAGGGUGCAAGCGUUAAUCGGAAUUACUGGGCGUAAAGCGUGCGCAGGCGGUUUUGUAAGUCUGAUGUGAAAUCCCCGGGC